GGUUCCGUAGUAUAAUGGGCAGCAUUCUAGACUUUAAAUCCAGCGAUUUGAGUUCAAAUCUCGGCGGAAUCU
rnacentral:tRNA from 1 species